UGUCCCACUCACAUUCUCCCAGCAUCCCAGCCUUACCUCCUGCACCCUCCCUGUUAUUCUUCCUCCCUCCAUGACAGUCCAAGGCAUUUACACUUGGAGCCACCCACUCUGUGCGUAAUUAUAGGAAAGUAUUUGUAUCUUUUUCUCUAAUGAUUUAAUGGUCUGUCUUCCCAACCACACUGUAAAACCCUGGAGGGCAUAGAAUAUUGUCAAUUGUAUCUGUUUCUCGUGUGCUUCUUAUUAGUACCCUGGAAGUGCUCAGUACAUCAUAUGAGCCAGAGUGCUGGCCAGGAAUGAGACCACGCUUUGCCUGUUGGUCACCGCAUCUCCAGGGAACUCAGAGGCAUCUCCAGGAAACACCUGAAUAUGUGAGCUGGUUCCUUACAACAGUCCAAUGAAGCAGAGGUGUGAGCAGAUCCUUUUUACAGCUAAGGAAACUGAGGCACAAAGAGGUUGACAGCACACUUGCCCCAAAGCGCAGGUAUUUACAGCAUGCCCUCAGGCUACCCAGAACCGGUGUUUGCUAAAGAUGACAGUCCACUGGAAGACUCUCUUACUGUUGCUAAACCUUGUGCUGCAUAUUGUUGUCUAUACUGAGACCCAAACUCACUCUGGAUCCUGGAACUCAUUCACUGAAACUUCUUCCCUUUCCUCAUCCAAAUGAGUGUUUUGUUAGGAAACGUAAUCCAUCCGUACUAAUUUGGAAUUUGCAGAAACAUUUGGGAUUUUGCAAGGGAGGAGAGUUGCUGAUUCUAAUCCAGUCUCAAGUGAUUCCGUCAACAUAGAUUUAGUAUUUUCUCAAGACAGUUUGGGGCUGAUGCUGCUGUGGAUUCCUAGUGAGGACCAAACCUGAAAUCUUCACACUAUGGACCUGAGAGUCUCCUUGGAUAUUUUACCUCCUCCCAUCCCAUAUUGCUUCUGGCCAGAUGCAGGUGUGUCAGCCCACACCUAGAUGAAUUUCAAGGGGGAACAAUGGCAUCAUCCUCUCCUGAAGUUUCACCUGCUCUGUCGCUUGAACGCACGUAAGCCACCUUGUGAGACUGUUCAAUACCGGGGGACAUAGUAUCUGCCUCAUUUUAAGGUGCCCAUGUUUUAGUGGAAGGUGCUUUGCUAUCUGUGACAUUUUUGAAUACAGCAAUGGAUUUGAGUGGGCAAAGCUGCUCUGUAAGACAGGGUGGGGUCAUUGAAGCCAUUUUAAAAAGAGAAAACAAAAGAAAACCUCAGGCAUUUUAAUAUGUUAAAUACGCAUCCAAUUAUUAAUUCUAAAGACUUCUACAAAUCAACCUAGAUGAAACUUUUUUCACCUUUUUCCUGCCUCUUUUCCCCUUCUCAGAAACAUUUAGACCUACCCUAUGGCAAUGACUAUUGGGAAGUCUCUGCCCUGUAUAUCAGGGUAGCACAAAUAAUUCAGCACAAAG
rnacentral:lncRNA from 10 species